AGCGAACGCUGGCGGCAGGCCUAACACAUGCAAGUCGAACGAACCCUUCGGGGUUAGUGGCGGACGGGUGAGUAACACGUGGGAACGUGCCUUUAGGUUCGGAAUAACUCAGGGAAACUUGUGCUAAUACCGACUGUGCCCUUCGGGGGAAAGAUUUAUCGCCUUUAGAGCGGCCCGCGUCUGAUUAGCUAGUUGGUGAGGUAAUGGCUCACCAAGGCUACGAUCAGUAGCUGGUCUGAGAGGAUGACCAGCCACAUUGGGACUGAGACACGGCCCAAGCUCCUACGGGAGGCAGCAGUGGGGAAUCUUGCGCAAUGGGCGAAAGCCUGACGCAGCCAUGCCGCGUGGAUGAUGAAGGUCUUAGGAUUGUAAAAUCCUUUCACCGGUGAAGAUAAUGACUGUAGCCGGAGAAGAAGCCCCGGCUAACUUCGUGCCAGCCGCCGCAGUAAUAC
rnacentral:rRNA from 1 species